rnacentral:lncRNA from 1 species
UCAGAUACGGCAUCCGGCCGAGCCAAUUAGAUCAUAUUAUAAGAGUUAUGACGAUCGAGGGCCCACGCAGGGCAUUCGACCACUCUUGGGCAAGAUACUUGCAGCAACAGUAUCAAUUGUUGUAAAGGUCACAUCUAAGUUCUUGCUACUCCUUGGAGAGCUUUGCUCCCAAAAUACAAAAGAGAAGAUGAGAGAAGGCUUCUCUUUUUCUCACCCGACAACUCCUCCUCCCUCGUCUCGAUGAGCCAUGACCGAAGGAUAUGCUGCACCAAUUCUUGCCCUAUCCCACAUGCCGAGGCGUGGAAUAAGGGCACAAGAGCAGUAUAUAAGAUAGGGCCUGGGGAAGAGAUCCAUACUUACCUGGACGGGGUCUAUUGGUGAUCAUGAAGGCCAAUGGCCUAGGUUCGG